UAAAAAUAUUACAAUAUAACGUACAAAGCCUUAAAAGAAAUUUUUUCGCAUGACAACCAUACAACUCAACACAAUUUAAUGAACUUCAACUUACUCAGAAAGACUAGAAUCGAUGGAUAUGGUGGCGUAGGAAUCGGAUUUAAAAAAGUACUUUUUCUUAACAAUCAUGAAAACGUUAUUAUAGCAGGAGACCUCAACGCUAGGCAUCAAGUGUGGGGAGACAGAAUAUGCAACACCAAAGGAAAAAUAGUUGUUGACGAAAUCAGGAACACCAAUCUCCAGUGCAUCAACAGUGGAGCAAUCACUCACCGCACCGGUAACAGUGCAGGAACGGCAAUUGACAUAACUCUGACCAACAUUAACAGCAGUUACACAAAAUGGCACUGUCAACAAGUCCAUUUGGGAGGCAGUAAGCAUUUCCC